CCUGACUUCAGACCCAGUGCUCUAUCCACUGGGCUACUUAGCUGCCACUGUCCCACCUAGCUGCCCCAGCCUCUGAGGCCCCACACGGCUCCAAGCUGUUAUUCAGGUUCUGGGCAGUUUAGUGGCCAGUACACAGAAGAUCCUGAGAGAACAACAGAUUUGGUGUCCAGUAGGUUCCAAAGCAUGAGGUAAGUAGUGCAUGAUUAUUUUUAUGCCCACUUUAUAUAUGAAAAAACAGGACUGGGAGGGUUGAAGGACUUGCUCAGAAACAUAAUAGGUGUCUGAGAUAGCUGAUCCCCCUAUUCUCAUACCCUCUCCACCGUACAAUAUUGUCUCCCUUACUGUUCUCUUCUGUUAUUUCUCCUUGAUUUUUUCCAGGGGUAUAGUGGACAAAGAGCUUGCCUCAAAGCCAGAAAGACCUGGUUUCAAGUCUUGCCUCUGACACACACUGCUAGUGUCCCCCCUGGGCCAGCCACUCAAUGUUUCAGUUCUCUAAACAACUUUCUAAGAAUAUGAAUGAAAGAAGAGAUGUUGACCCACAUCAGUGGAUGGAGUUUCCUCACCUGGAAGUUCCUUAUAUUCCAUUCCUGAUAAGAAAAUGACCAGUCUAAUCCCUAUCCAAACCUCUUUCCUUUGACAACCUGACAGACUAUUCUUGUGGCCUUGUGGAUUGGCCACCUUGUCUCAUCUUCCUAGAAUCUGUUGAUGCCUGAGUCAUUAUAUGGACAUCAGAAACAGAGACAAGGACUCCUUCAACACCACAGGCCUUGCUUCAAAGCUUGAAUGGACCACUGACUGGGCUCCCCACUUGACAUUAUCUCAUUUUGUGGGACUCAGGGCCACAUUUCCCCAGCAGUUCUCCAGAACACAGCCACACAAUACAGUGGAGGAUUUUCUUUGUUUCUUUUCGCAUUUCAUCAUAUGGAGACUGUUCGUGCGCCUUUUACACUGUUCUGUCACUGAUAGUAGUCCUUGGGAAUGUUCUCAAUUGAUUUAUCUGAUUUCUCUUUUUUUCCCUUCAUCAGCCAUGCCCACUGCUGGGAAUGCCUGGCCUGGACUUCCUAUGAGUGUUUCUCUAGAUCCCUUGAUCACCAUCAAAUCAGCCCUUUUGGAGUGGAUGCCCCCUUGGAGGGUCAAUUAAAGUCUUAGUUCUUCUAGGGCAGUGUAUGUGCAAGUGUUUGUGUUUGUGUGUGUGGGUGGGCAUGCACACCAGAAGUAUAUCACUUAACAAAUUCAUAAUUUCUAAGAGGAGAAAUAGACCAUAUCUGGUAUCUGUGACUUUUGACAUGGACAAAGUAUUUGGAGAGUAUAUGGAGCCUGGGAGUGCUAAGGAAUAUGUCCCUAUUGGUGAGCAUCCACAAGGAGAAGCAGUGGAGGAUAGUGGAAAGAGUGAAGCACCUAGAUUCAAACCCCACCUCUACUUUGUACUUGGAAAGUCUUAACAACUCUGAUCAACACAAUGACCAACUAUGACUCCCAGAGGACCCAGGCUUCCCACCUCUUGAAACUGAGGUGAUGGACUCAAAGGACAGCUGAGGUUCCUGUGGAGAAGGAGCCAGCUAUUUCCCCCAAAAAGUUUUCCAAACAACUACUCCUGGUGAGGCAGACAAGCCAGACAAGCUGAAGCAACCAAGCACCCUGAAGAAGAGACAGGAGGAAGCAUGUGCCAGGCAGAUUCAUCCUCAUCCAUAGCGCCUGGACCACCCUCUCUCCUCACACCCUGAUGGGGAAAUCCCAGGACCAUGAACCCAAGAGACUUAGGGACAGCCAGGUUUCAAGUCCCAUGCCUCAAUCAUCAUCCUAUGAAGCCAUCCCUGGGGAGAUGUAGACUGGCCAUGAACCUGCAGAAGCUGCAGCCACAGCUACUGGAGACCCAGAAAGGGAAGUUCUGGCCACCCAGGUCCUUGGCCCUGUUAAAUGGUGUGAUUUUAUCACUGGAAAAAUCUUCUAUAUGCCAAU